AUGCCAGCAAAUUUGGAAAACUCAGCAGUGGCCACAGGACUGGAAAAGUCAGUUUUCAUUCCAAUCCCAAAGAAAGGCAAUGCCAAAGAAUGCUCAAACUACCGCACAAUUGUACUCAUCUCACAUGCUAGUAAAGUAAUGCUCAAAAUUUUCCAAGCCAGGCUUCAGCAAUACAUGAACCAGGAACUUCCUGAUGUUCAAGCUGCUUUUAGAAAAGGCAGAGGAACCAGAGAUCAAAUUGCCAACAUCUGCUGGAUCAUGGAAAAAGCAAGAGAGUUCCAGAAAGACAUCUCUUUCUGCUUUAUUGACUGCGCCAAAGCCUUUGACUGUGUGAAUCACAAUAAACUGUGGAAAAUUCUUCAAGAGAUGGGAAUACUAGACCACCUGACCUGCCUCUUGAGAAAUCUGUAUGCAGGUCAGGAAGCAACAGUUAGAACUGGACAUGGAACAACAGACUGGUUCCAAAUAGGAAAAGGAGUACGUCAAGGCUGUAUACUGUCACCCUGCUUUUUUAACUUAUAUGCAGAGUACAUCAUGAGAAACGCUGGACUGGAAGAAACACAAGCUGGAAUCAAGAUUGCCGGGAGAAAUAUCAAUAAUCUCGGAUAUGCAGAUGACACCACCCUUAUGGCAGAAAGUGAAGAGGAACUGAAAAGCCUCUUGAUGAAAGUGAAAGUGGAGAGUGAAAAAGUUGGCCUAAAGCUCAACAUUCAGAAAACGAAGAUCACGGCAUCCGGUCCUUUCACUUCAUGGGAAAUAGAUGGGGAAACAGUGGAGACAGUGUCAGACUUUAUUUUGGGGGGCUCCAAAAUCACUGCAGAUGGUGAUUGCAGCCAUGAAAUUAAAAGAUGCUUACUCCUUGGAAGAAAAGUUAUCACCAACCUAGAUAGUAUAAUCCAAAGCAAAGACAUUACUUUCCUGACUAAGGUCCAUCUAGUCAAGGCUAUGAUUUUUCCUGUGGUCAUAUAUGGAUGUAAGAGUUGGACUGUGAAGAAGGCUAAAGAAUUGAUGGUUUUGAACUGUGGUGCUGGAGAAGACUCUUGA
rnacentral:lncRNA from 1 species